ensembl:lncRNA
UCCAGGCUCCCACAUUGCAGGCAGAUUCUCUACUGUCUGAGCCACCAGGGAAGCGCUGAACAAAUAGUACGGUAUAUGUUAAAUAAACACCUUCUUUCCUUCUGGGGCUCUGGAAUUUGGAUUCCUUCCAGCAGGGGAUGCAUAUGUGAAUAGCUUCCCACAAAAUCUCUGCUCACUGGUCUCUAACAAAUUUUACAUAUAUGUUCACAACUUGUUGCCAGGGAUCGACCACUGAUCCAGCUGCCCUGUGGGCAAUCCUGUACUUCCUCUAAACCCCUGUGAGAACUACCAAGCUGCCUGUUCUUUCACUGAUGAAGAAUAUCCAAGUCAGAUGAAAGGUAAAUCUUCUCUAACUGAUGUAUCAGUCUGGGUUAAGUCAGGUAAAGGGAGAAACUAGACGUAAUAGAGAAAUAAAGCAAUAUAAAAUGUGGAAGAAUCAGGUUUAUAUGUAUGUGGGAAGAGCUAAAGGGGGAACUGUGGGAGUGAUGGUAAUGAAAAGAUGGUAGAAAGAACCUUGAAGGAUUCCAGCCUGAAGUACAAGAGUUGGGGGAGAGUGUAGUGCCAGUUUAUCAAGAGGUGUGUGAAGCCCUGCAUCUGGUCGCUGGGAUCUCCUAAGAGGAAUGGCUUCUGCUUCACCUUCUUCCAUUGGUCAAUUCUAAUGAUAAUUCAUCUAAAGAAGGGAAUUAGAGAACACUAAAGUUCUCAGACUUAGGAGUGUUGGCAUGCCUUGUUGACAAAAGCCAAGUCAUGCUGGCAUGCUGGCUAUUGGGAGCCCAUAGAAAACUACACAUAAAGGGCUUCUAGAAACAUAUAAAUCUGUAUUUAAAAAAACAAACAGUCAGAACAUUUACUACAAUGUUACAUUUCCAGUGACAUUGAUGGUACUUUCUGUUUAAAAAAGUGGGAGAAGGGAAUCUGACUUUCUAAGAUUUAUUCAAAGGCUUUUUAGAAACACAGGAUUUAUAUUUUAUUUGAUUGGAAUAAUUACUUUAAAAAGUAUCAGCCUAUUCUCUACUGUCCUGGAUAAGGGAAUGGCGGCCCACUCUAAUAUCCUUGCCCCAGGAAUCCCAUGGAGAGAAGCACUUGGUGGGCUACAGUCCAUGGGGUUACAAAGAGUUGGACAUAACUAAGCAACUAACACAGUCACGCACACACACACACACAUACACACACACACACUACUAUAUAAGACAAAAUGAAAUAUUUAGUUGCCUUAAAGAUGAAUUGGGAAUCUAUAAAAGUAUUCCCAGAGUUCAAAUUUAAUUAUCAUCUAUCCAUGAAGAAUUUAGAAGACAACUGAUAUUAUGAUGGUAAGCCUCUAAUAAAGUGAUCUGGCAUUUAAAAAAGUUUGCCACUGAAAAGUUUAUUUGGCACACAAAUUUUCUGCAGCCAUUCUAAUAUUUACUAGUUAUACACUAACAGAUGAAUUAUGUGUCAAAUAGAAUUGUGGAACCAAAGUUAGGGAAAUCAUACUUUCAAACGGUAAUUGAAAAGUUAGUUUUGCAUUUACGAUUCAAUAAGUUUUGAAGUUGCCAGCUUCAAUAUAUGCUUUAUUAUACUUAUCAAUAGAUAUUUUGAAGGAAGUAUUAUUACUUAUGUUUGUGCUUAAAAAAUCUUCCAAAUUUGUCCAAACAUAUGUUUAUAAUAGUACCAUGAUGUUCUAGACUGAACAACAUCAGUAUGCCAAACAAAAAUGUUACAUAACAUGAAUGAACAACUGAUAAUCUGGGUCAAGUUACCCAUCUAAAGGAAGAGGCAUCAAGAUCUGGAUUUGAAAUAUGAUGAGUACAGCAAAUACUUGAAGGAAUAUUUGAAAUUAGUGUUGUCCCCAGUCAUAAUCAGAAACAUGGUAAAUGUAGUCCCUCACCAUACUAAAGCAAUCACUCUUUCAGACACACAAGCUAAGUGAAGAUAGUCAAAAGCGCAGCACCUAAGGGUCAGUUCUUAUAAACCUCAAAUACAUUUUGAAACUUUAACUCAUCAUUUUCUUUUUCAUUCAGUUCUCUGGUUAAAUACUUCUGAGCAGCACACACAUUUUUCUUCUUGUCUUCAAAGUCCUGAUUCUUAAUGUAAUUUUGGAUCUUAACUAGAUUUUUCAUUAAAUAACUCCUCCAUGAAAGAAGUUAGGACUUCUGGAAAACAAAACAAGUAGAUGUUGCCAAUACUCAAUCAAUACCAGAGUUGGCGUUCCCUAAUAAAAUUUCUAUUUUCUAUUCAUUUUUUACAAGGUUACCUCAUCAGUCUGACAGAUAAUCAUACGUAGCUUUAUUAAAUGCUGUGUAUGCAAAGGAGAAUAAAGGAGCACUGCCGAGGGACAUCUAACACAGGAAAUUGGGAAAAGAAAAACAUUGUUGUUCAGCCAUUCAGUCGUGCCUGACUCUGUGACCCAGUGAACCACAGCACACCAGGCUUCCCUGUCCUUUUCUGUCUCCUGGAGUUUGCUCAAACUUAUGUCCAUAGAGUCAAUGAUGCCAUCCAACCAACUUAUCCUCUGCUGCCCCCUUCUCCCCCUGCCUUAAAUCUUUCCCAGCAACAGGGUCUUUUCUAAUGAGUCAGCCUUUCACAUAUUAGUUAAUAUUUCCUAAAAGGGGGGAUAUUGUCUCUGAAUCUUUAAAGAGUGAUAGAGCAGGUACUCAGCAGAGAAGAAGAAGAUGCAAAGGACAGAGCUAGCUGAGUGUGGAGCAUUCAGACAUCCACAGCACCGUUGGUUUUACUGGAGUAAUGGCAGGAGUAGUGGCAGGAAAUGAACCUGAUUACUUAAGAAAGGAACAAAUCAUGAAAGAC